rnacentral:lncRNA from 1 species
UCAGAACCCGCCUGCCAGACUCAGGGCUCUCCCCCACCCUCCCCGGGCCCUCCUCCUGCAUGCCCAGCCUGACUCAGAAGCCUUCGUCAGCCCCGGAGCCUCACAGUGCCAGAGGGACCCUCGGACCUCCCCAGUAUGUUCACCUCCAUGGGCGGGGCGUGCAGCCUCUGGAGCUCGUCAGUUGGGCAAGGCUCCGGAGAUCUGGCCUGAGUUUGAAUCUGCUGCAAGAAAUCCCCUGAGCCUGGGUGCCCAGGAACAGACCCCCACCUUCUUCUGCCUUCCUUCCAUCCUGACUCAGCACCACUUUCUCCUGCUGCUCCCUUGCACGGUCUGCUGCGUCUCUCCCAGAGCGGUGGAGUCACCACCAAACCCAGUCCUGAGGGAGGAGGGGCCAGAGCUGGGAGAGCUGCAGCCUGUUGAGUUCCUCAACCACCUGGAAUGCCUGGAUCUCUCGAAGAGUUGAAUCUGGGGAUGGCAAGGAAAUGGGCACACAGUGGUUCAGGGGCCAGCUCGGGCUGAACCUGCAGCGAAGACUGAUCAGACACUCAGAGAACUGGGAAGCACAGGGGCUGGCGGUGGGAGCGAGGGGGUGGUCCCUGCAAGGACAGAUUCACCCCAGACAGGAUCACAGAGAGGGACGCGGGCCAGGUGCCUGGGGAACUCUAGGACGGCAUUCUUAAAAGGGAUUCUCCUUAUUUUACACAAUUGUCCUCCCCAAGAACUCGAGGGUGUCAUAUAGGAUAGGGGGACACUACGAGACGGGGAGAAAGACAUUGGGGGAGGGUCAAGGCUCUGGAAUCAG